GCCAGCAGCCGCGGUAAUUCCAGCUCCAAUAGCGUAUAUUAAAGUUGUUGCAGUUAAAAAGCUCGUAGUUGAAACUUGGGCCUGGCUGGCGGGUCCGCCUCACCGCGUGCACUCGUCCGGCCGGGCCUUCCUUCUGAAGAACCUCAUGCCCUUCACUGGGCGUGCUGGGGAAUCAGGACUUUUACUUUGAAAAAAUUAGAGUGUUCAAAGCAGGCCUUUGCUCGAAUACGUUAGCAUGGAAUAAUAAAAUAGGGCGUGCGUUUCUAUUUUGUUGGUUUCUAGAGACGCCGCAAUGAUUAACAGGAACAGUCGGGGGCAUCAGUAUUCAGUUGUCAGAGGUGAAAUUCUUGGAUUUACUGAAGACUAACUACUGCGAAAGCAUUUGCCAAGGAUGUUUUCAUUAAUCAGUGAACGAAAGUUAGGGGAUCGAAGA
rnacentral:rRNA from 1 species